GUUGGAAGCGACACCGAAGACUGGAGGGCCGUCGUUGUCCGUCCAUGCCUUCCAAGAUACGAUAAGAAAACAUUUCUUUGAAGAACUAAACGGACAGCUGCACAGAGAGGAUGAGGACCUCUUCCCAGUCCAUUAUCCUACUCAAACAUUUCCUCCAUGGAGCUGCAGGGCCUUGUGAAGUGUGUCACCACUGAGGAUGAAAGCGGAAGACGGGAGGCGAACAAGUUCCUGAACGCCAUCUUUCCAGAGAGGAACGGGAGCUGCUACAGAGGCAGCGGGUGGAGAAGACUGAACAACAGGAGAGACUCCGGAUGUUCAGAGAGGAAGAAGAG